rnacentral:misc_RNA from 1 species
UUCCUUGGUGAUGAGCAGCAGCAUGGAAG